rnacentral:misc_RNA from 1 species
GAUGAAGAACGUAGCGAAAUGCGAUAAGUAAUGUGAAUUGCAGAAUUCAGUGAAUCAUCGAAUCUUUGAACGCACAUUGCGCCCUCUGGUAUUCCGGGGGGCAUGCCUGUUCGAGCGUCAUUACAACCCUCAAGCUUUGCUUGGUAUUGGACGUUGCCAGUUUCUGGCAGGUCUUAAAAUCAGUGGCGGUGCCAUUUGGCUUCAAGCGUAGUAAUUCUUCUCGCUUUGGAGAUCCAGGUGGUUACUUGCCAAUAACCCCCAAUUUUUUCAGGUUGACCUCGGAUCAGGUAGGGAUACCCGCUGAACUUAAGCAUAUCAAUAAGCGGAGGA